CAGGGCUAUGGGGGAGGGUUCAGGGCUAUAGUGUGGGGACCAGGGCUAUGGGGAGGGGGCUGUGGGGUGGGGCCAACCCUCACCCUGCCCCAUCCACCGCCCCCGUGGGCCCCCCGGCCUGGGGACGCAGCUGAAGCCCUUCCCUGCACCCUCGGCCAGACUGAACCCGCUCGGUGUUGGGGUGGGUGGCUGUUCCCGACCCUGAGCUCAGCCCAGCUAAACCAGAGCAAACACCGCCAGGAGCCGCCCCGGGGGCCGGGGUGGGAUUUAACCCGGGUUUAACCCAAACUGGAUUAUCUGCAAGGUCACAGAAGCGCAGGCUCUGCCCACAGCGGGCUGUUCCCGGCGGGAACAAAACCAAAACACCAAACCACGCCCGGAGGGAGAAACUGUUCCCGGGGAAUCCCCGCUGGUGAUCCCACUGUGGAUCCUUCCUUCAUCCCUGUGUUUGUGGCUCUGGGUGCCGCUGUGGUGUCCCAGGGGUUGAUCCCUGUGCCCAUGCCACCAGAGGAGCAGUGCCAGGAGCUGUUCCACAGCCCCCUCCGUUUGGGGUGGGGGUCCAGGGUCCACCUCAUCCUGCCCACGGCAGCCCCUUCCUCGGCAGUGAGUGUCCAUGUCCCAGGAGGAGGAAUUGUUGUUGUGCUGCAGAAUUAAACCUCGUGGAGCAGCCUGA